rnacentral:misc_RNA from 1 species
UGUGGGAGCGGGCUUGCUCGCGAAUGCGGUGUGUCAGUCGAUAUCUGCGUAGCUGACACACCGCAUUCGCGAGCAAGCCCGCUCCCACA